rnacentral:rRNA from 1 species
GAGACAGCAGCAGCCGCGGUAAUACGGAGGGUGCAAGCGUUAUCCGGAUUCACUGGGUUUAAAGGGUGCGUAGGCGGGCAGGUUAGUCAGUGGUGAAAUCUUCGAGCUUAACUCGGAAACUGCCGUUGAUACUAUCUGUCUUGAAUAACGUUGAGGUGAGCGGAAUAUGUCAUGUAGCGGUGAAAUGCUUAGAUAUGACAUAGAACACCGAUUGCGAGGGCAGCUCACUAAACGCUCAUUGACGCUGAGGCACGAAAGCGUGGGGAUCAAACAGGAUUAGAUACCCCAGUAGUCCCUGUCUCUUAUAC